ACUAACGCUGGCGGCGUGCCUAACACAUGCAAGUCGAACGAAGCAGCAAUGCUUAGUGGCAGACGGGUGAGUAACGCGUAGAUAAUGUGCCCUCUUGCGGGGGAUACCGUUUCGAAAGGAACGUUAAUACCGCAUAACACCUUCGGUGGGCAUCCAUCGAGGGUCAAACUUCCGGGGCGGGAGGAGCAAUCUGCGUUCUAUCAGGUAGUUGGUGAGGUAACGGCUCACCAAGCCUACGACGGAUAACUGGUCUGAGAGGAUGAUCAGUCACACUGGAACUGAGACACGGUCCAGACUCCUACGGGAGGCAGCAGUGAGGAAUAUUGCGCAAUGGGCGAAAGCCUGACGCAGCGACGCCGCGUGGAGGAUGAAGGCCUUCGGGUUGUAAACUACUGUCACUUGGGAAGAAACUUGCCUUGGUGAAUAAUCAAGGUAAUUGACUGUACCAAGAGAGGAAGCCACGGCUAACUCUGU
rnacentral:rRNA from 1 species